UACGUAGGGUCCGAGCGUUGUCCGGAAUUACUGGGCGUAAAGAGCUCGUAGGUGGUUUGUCGCGUUGUUCGUGAAAACUCACAGCUCAACUGUGGGCGUGCGGGCGAUACGGGCAGACUGGAGUACUGCAGGGGAGACUGGAAUUCCUGGUGUAGCGGUGAAAUGCGCAGAUAUCAGGAGGAACACCGGUGGCGAAGGCGGGUCUCUGGGCCGAUACUGACGCUGAGGAGCGAAAGCGUGGGGAGCAAACAGG
rnacentral:rRNA from 1 species